GAUUGGCUAUUGAGUCCACCUGCUCAUUCAGGCGCAACGGAACGUUAUUUUGCCCCUAGAAUUAGCCGAGUAGAGGUGUACAACAGUCUUGAAGGAGCGGUGAUUCCAGUCAUAUCCUGCCGAGCAGAAGCUGGUGGCAGAUGUUCCAGUUGUGGUAUUUGAGUUACCAAGAUGAGCGUGUGGAGAGGUGGGGGCUGGGCGAAACAGCAAUGGUGAUGUAUCUAUUUGUGAAGAAAGCAACAUUGGUGGAGGGGAAGGAACGCCACACUGCAGAGUAAUGGAAGAGGCUGUGACCUGCAGGUGACACGCUUGAGGACCCUAGACGUGGAUACCAUCGUGUGUAGUUACUGUAUGGACACAACCUCCAGCUGUUGAAUGAUCAAGUUUCUGUUCCAUAGAAGAACCGACUACGGAAGGCGCACGAGGUACACCAUUGAUGAAGAAUGGAAAGGGAUGGAGCCCGAGGACAAACAACUGGACCCAUGAGUUCGACCUACAUUCCUAGUUCCAGCGGGCAGCCGAGGCGUUCGCCCUUCUGGGUUGUGGUUUCCGCGCGUGGUUUGCGGUGCUCGGGCGGAACCCCCAAAUUGAUAAGCCUGCAGAUAGCUAAGAAAUAAUCGGAUGAAUUGUAAUUAGUGUAAAUAAAUUAAUGCAAGUUUAAUUGACUACAUAUAGAUGUAGUUAUGAAUUGUAAUUAAAAUGUAGUUUAUAAAUAUAAUGAAUAAUCAUACUAAUGAUUGCAUAAUACUUUGUUAUGCACUAGUGAAUAAGUCAUUAUCAUUGCUGUUAAUGAGCAAAUAUUGUUACUGAAUAAAAUAGGUAAUACAUAUAGUAAAUAAUAAAAAAAAAAAUUAGUUAUUAAUAUAUAAUCAAAUAAAAUAUGAUUUAGCAUUAUCCAAAAAAUAAGUCUGCAAUCUGAGCAGGUUUUGUUCCAAGGUGAGAAAAUUAAAAUUGAAGUGGUGUUAGCGUUGAACGUUGUGUAGUGACAAAUGUUGAAACAAAUGUUAAAGUAAAACACAAUCGAAAAUAGAUAUGAAUAAUACCUUUGAGGUUUGUAACCUGUUUGCUGUCUCGUCACUUGCACAAUAGUGACUGUGUGUGAGAAGAUCUGUUAUCUCCCGGAGUGUGAGUGACAUGGAAAAGAUAGUGUUAUUAUUAAUCAUGGAAGAAAGUAGUGAGAAUAUUAUCUUUGAGCGUUAAUUGAUUGAAAUGUAGUGCCGUUGAUGUAGAAUAAUAUACUCAUAGAUAGUACUGUAUUAACGUGAAAAUGGAAUGUUGUAAUUUUACGGAUUGAAUUUGUUGGGUAAUUGGUAGAAAUAGCCUGAGGUACUCGUUAGUUUUAGUGAAUAAUAUUGUUUGAACUGUUGUCAAAGAACAUACUUGAAUUUUAAUACAUAAUGUUCUUUCGAGUGUCAAGGUAUUUAAGUUUGUAUAGUUAUCAAUAAGUAGUGUACCCACAUCAAAUUGUAUGGAUGUGUGAUAUCAUUAUGAUAGACAGUAUACAUCGCAGCUACAAGAAUUUUGGCCCAAGAGUGUAAAAUUUAUAUGCUUUGCUUACUAUAUUACAAAUGAAUCUUGUAAUGUGUAUUUGCAGUCAGUGAAUUUGUGUGGCUCCUUGAGGUUCCGCAAGUAUAGGUGAGUGGAAGUACCCUAAAUGACUCUAUCAUCUUGAUAUGUAAUUAUUAUUGUCUGAAUAAACAUACUUGAAUUGAA
rnacentral:lncRNA from 1 species